UAUCUUGAAUUGAAGUCAGAUAUUUGCAAUUGAAGGUAGUGGGGGUUGCCUGGUAUGAGAGGUAAAACUAGCGAGAAAAUGACUGCCAAAGUGUGGUGACUUCCAAGGCUUCAGAGUUCUUGGAAAGUGGAAAUUUACCCUGUUCGUGCCCUUAAUGAACGCUUUUCGGUAACAUCUACUCGGAAAUGCAUUUGAAAAGGACAUAAAAAGGGUUGCGCCAAAAAUAGAAAAUCUGAAACAAAAUUACCCCACACCCAGAAAAAUGCUGUUUUCUUUUACUUCAUUGUUUUGACGAGCGCCUGAUGUCUCCACGCUGCCUCACAAAUGCUCCUCCAUCUCUGUUCUUGGAAUGUAACCCUUUACAUCCUGUGUUGAGGUUUACUUUGGAAGCAGUAGAAAUUUUCCUAGGACUUCUCUGACUCAUUAAAGUGGUUUAUAUUAGAAACAAGGAAAGAGGAUUUGACAGGUGUUUUUUUUUCUGUCUGUUCUAUGAAAUUGACUUUUUUGGAGUUGAUUACUUGGCUGCCGACACUGUGGAUAUGUGGGAAGGGGAUUAAAAGUAAAAAAUGUACUAGCUUCCUGAGUUUUCAGUCUAUGGUGAUUUUUACAAGUUGUUCCUCAGCAUGAUAGUUUUAUUUGUAGUUUUUACUGCUUGGUGUAUCUUUUGUUUCCAAAGACUGUCUUUUACUAUUUGAAAUGGCUUCCACUUGUACAAUGCACUCAACCCUUUCAAAUGUUCAGCUCAAAUUUUCUUCUCCAUUACUCCACUUUGCUUCUCAGGUCUUCCUUUUAAAAUUAAACUCUGGUCCCGCUUGAUUUUCAGAUUUUUUCCCAAAGGUUAAAGUUUGGGUAUAUUGACAGUUACAAAAAUAAUUCUUCCUUUUCCCAAAGGUUAAAGUUUGGGUAUAUUGACAGUUACAAAAAUAAUUCUUUCUUUUCCCAAAGGUUAAAGUUUGGGUAUAUUGACAGUUACAAAAAUAAUUCUUUCUUUUCCCAAAGGUUAAAGUUUGGGUAUAUUGACAGUUACAAAAAUAAUUCUUUCUUUUCCCAAAGGUUAAAGUUUGGGUAUAUUGACAGUUACAAAAAUAAUUCUUUCUUUUCCCAAAGGUUAAAGUUUGGGUAUAUUGACAGUUACAAAAAUAAUUCUUUCUUUUCCCAAAGGUUAAAGUUUGGGUAUAUUGACAGUUACAAAAA